GAUGAAGAACGCAGCGAAAUGCGAUACUUGGUGUGAAUUGCAGAAUCCCGUGAACCAUCGAGUCUUUGAACGCAAGUUGCGCCCGAAGCCAUUAGGCCGAGGGCACGCCUGCCUGGGCGUCACACGUCGUUGCCCCCCCAUCUCCUCCUUCGGGAUUGCGGGGGGCGGAUGAUGGCCUCCCGUGCGCCUCGCCGCGCGGUUGGCAUAAAUGCCAAGUCCUCGGCGACGCACGCCACGACAAUCGGUGGUUGCGAAACCUCGGUUGCCCGUCGUGUGCGGUCGUCGCGCAUCGAGGGCUCGAAAAAAUUGCCGGGUUCCGGCUCGGCUUUCAACGCGACCCCAGGUCAGGCGGGGUUACCCGCUGAAUUUAAGCAUAUCACUAAGCGGAGGA
rnacentral:misc_RNA from 1 species